rnacentral:tRNA from 2 species
GGACCAUUAGCUCAGUUGGUUAGAGCCAACUGCUCAUAACGGUUAGGUCACAGGUUCGAGUCCUUUAUGGUCCA